AUACAGAGGGUGCAAGCGUUGUUCGGAAUUAUUGGGCGUAAAGGGCGCGUAGGCGGUGCGGUAAGUCUGUAGUGAAAUCUACUGGGCUCAACUACAGGAGUCUGCUGCAGAAACUGCCGUGCUUGAGAUGUGGGAAGAGGUGAGUGGAAUUCCUGGUGUAGCGGUAGAAAAUGCGCAGAUAUCAGGAGGAACACCGAUGGCGAAAGGCAGC
rnacentral:rRNA from 1 species